GAAGGCAGCAGAAAGGGACCGAGAAAAGGCCAUUCCUGGACACCCACUCAAUAGGUGUAUUGAGUCUUUGGACAAAAAAUUUCAACUCAGCAACCAAACUGAAUACUGUUUAAAGAGGAAGGAAGGAAGAAUGCUUCAAUGUCUUACGUUCUAACUGGGAAAAGAAGACCCGUGUACAGAAGUUUUGUCCUCCCCCAGGAUCAUAAAUAACCUCCAAAGUAAAAGCACAUCCGUGACUAUUUGGACAACUUGUAGGUAGGUGGUGGAGCAAAAGAAACCUAAACUGAAAGCAAUCUUGCCAUUCAACACAAGAUUCAUGGUAUCCAGGAGCUCGCCUGUUCGUUGCAUCUUCAAGGAGACCCAGCAUGCUAGCAAAGUUGCCUGAUAAAUAUGCCACAUCUCUCUGCACAGGUUCAAACGCAUCCCUGGUCAUGUCAGCAUUUUGAUGCUUCCUGGGGGCCCUUCUCUUUCUCAUUAGCAUUUUCAGAAGGUUAUAUGACUCAAAUCUAUUAAGCAGAUAACCCCCGCCCCCAGCAAGUUGUGAGGGGCUAGAGAGAGAGAAGACAGGGCAAUGAACUUGGAGGAGAUUCACACCCCUGCCCCACAUUCUUCUGGGAACUGGAAAGUCUGUGUCUUUUGCGAUGAAAGAACAGGUUAUGACCCCUUCAGACACUGUCUCUGGAGAGGUAAAGUUCACAAGCUGCAGAGGAGGGGGCACUCAUCCUAAAGGAUCCUUGCUGCUGACUCCAUCUCUGUCCUUGAAGAGACCUUUUUUGCUUCUCUAGACACUUGUAGGCACCCUGGUGAGUUGACCCCAGGGACUCACAUUUCAUUUUGAGACCAGUCCUCUGGCUGUCACAUUCACUUCAACUUAACCCCCUCCUUUCAUGGGAAUGACCUAGAGAUGGCUGCCUGAAGGAGACAGUGUGUCUCUGGUGUUUGGCAGAACAUAUAAUGAUGGUCCCUUCUCAAGAAUAGGGAGGAGAGAUGAUGGUGAAACACAGGCACAGGGGUGCCUCUGUCUAGCUAUUUAGGAGUUGUUGAACUAAAAGACUGAUUUUAGAAAGUGGUAGCUCAGAGCAGAACACAGCUCCCAUGCUGUUUGAGGGAAAGAGAUCAGGAAACAAAAGGUUUUAAGUCAGGAGCAAUUCUGACUUAAUAGAAACUGGUAGCUUCUUUGGACCAACUCGUAAGUGGAUUUGAAGAUAGAGACAGAAUGUUUUUGGAAAUCCUCUUAAAGUAACCCUGGAAGGAGGAUAGCCUGGGCUUGGCUCCUUAAUAGAGGUAUCCAGAAGAAAUUAAGUAAUUUUCAUUCCCUGAUCUGGAUAAGGCUAGAAAGGUAUUGAUUCUCUACAGGCAAAUGCAGAUUCACCAGCAUGAAUUCAUUUGUAUUGUCUGCAAGCAAGUCGUCCUCUUUUAUAUGAAAAAUGAUUUGGAACAGGUUUUAGGAUGAGAAAUCUGGUGCAGUUCAGCGGGAUGGAUUUAGGAGGGAAGAGGUGGUGAGAGGAAGUCGUUAGAAGGCUCUUGUGAUUGAAUAUUAAGAUCAUGGAGCCUGGAAUUGCAAUGGUAGCCCUGGAACUGGAGAAGAAUUUGUUACUGAUCAAAAAGGCCUUGCAGGAAAGUUCUUCAACAAAAAAGAAAAAAAAUGGGCAAAAUGUGGGAAAAAAUACUUGCCACAAAUAUGAUGGACAAAAGUGAAUAUUCUAAACAUUUAAAAAACGUAUGGAGAGGAGAGUUCCCAUCAUGGUGCAGUGGAAACAAAUCCGACUAGGAACCAUGAGGUUGAAGGUUUGUUCCCUGGCCUCGUUCAGUGGGUUAAGGAUCUGGCAUUGCUGUGUGCUAUGGUGCAGGUCACAGAUGCAGCUCAGAUCUGGUGCUGCUGUUGCUCUGGCAUAGGCUGGCAACUGUAGCUCCAAUUAGACCCCUAGCCUGGGAACCUCCAUAUGCUGUGGGUGUGGCCCUGAAAAAAGACAAAAAGACAAAAGACAAAAAAUAAAUAAAAUUUAAAAAUUAAAAAUUAAAAACAUAUGGACAAAAAAACACAGAGAUCCAACAGCCCUAAGGGCAGAGGGAAUGGAUGGGAAAUUCCCAUAGAAAGAAUAUAGAUGAGGUAAUAUACAUGCAGAAAUGUUUAGCCUCACUAGUGGUUAACAAACUAAAAAUUUAAACAGUGAUUUUUUUUUUUUUAGCAAUCACAUAAUUCAUUUAAAAAUGAUAAUGUUCAUACAGCAUGGUUAAUGUGUUAAUUGGCAUAAUAUUUCUGGAAAGGACUUUGAUGAUAUAACAGAAAAUUUUAAAAUGUUUCCACCCUUUGAUUCACAUUCUACUUUUCAAUGACUAUCCUAAAGAUGUAAGUUAUUAACACAGACUUACUUGUUUAUCAAGGUGGUUUUUAGAAUAGCAAAAGCAAGGAAGACAGGGAAACAACCAAAUGUCCAAUACCGGGGACGUGUUGAAUAAAUUAUGACAUAUUCUACCAUAUGAUGAACCAUUAAGAAAUUAUUAAAGUUGUAUUUUCUUCACAGUGAAAAUAUCUUUAUAUAAUGCUAAUACAUGUUUUUAUGCAACAUAUAGUUAUUUCACGAUAUGAUUUCAAUUGUUUAUAUAUGUGCAUGCAUUAUUCUAUGAAUAUACAUAAAAGGUAUGAUCAAAACAAAA
rnacentral:lncRNA from 1 species